rnacentral:rRNA from 1 species
CAAUAGCGUAUAUUAAUGUUGUUGCAGUUAAAAAGCUCGUAGUUGGAUUUCUGACGGGAGCCCUGGUCACUCUAACGAGUGUACUGAUGUGGCGUCCUGUCGUUUCAUGGGGAUGCUUGCUGGUAUUAAGUUAUCGGCUUGUGGAUCCAUGUCGUUUACUGUGAAAAAAUUAGAGUGUUCAAAGCAGGCCAUCGCUGUGAAUACAUUAGCAUGGAAUAAUAAGAUAGGACUGUGGUGCUAUUUUGUUGGUUUGCGUACUACGGUAAUGAUUAAUAGGGAUAGUUGGGGGUAUUCAUAUUCAAUUGUCAGAGGUGAAAUUCUUGGAUUUAUGGAAGAUGAACUACUGCGAAAGCAUUUACCAAGGAUGUUUUCAUUAA